GAUGAACGCUAGCGGCAGGCUUAAUACAUGCAAGUCGAGGGGUAGCAAGAUUGUAGCAAUACAAUUGUUGACGACCGGCAAACGGGUGCGGAACACGUACACAACCUUCCUACAAGUGGGGAAUAGCCCAGAGAAAUUUGGAUUAAUACCCCGUAACAUAGCGAUGUGGCAUCACAUUGCUAUUAUAGCUUCGGCGCUUGUUGAUGGGUGUGCGGCUGAUUAGAUAGUUGGCGGGGUAACGGCCCACCAAGUCUACGAUCAGUAGCUGAUGUGAGAGCAUGAUCAGUCACACUGGCACUGAGAAACGGGCCCGACUCCUACGGGAGGCAGCAGUAAGGAAUAUUGGACAAUGGACGCAAGUCUGAUCCAGCCAUGCCGCGUGAAGGAUUAAUGUCCUCUGGAUUGUAAACUUCUUUUAUAAGGGACGAAAAAAGGUCUUUCUAGAUCGUCUGACGGUACCUUAUGAAUAAGCACCGGCUAACUCCGUGCCAGCCGCCGCAGUAAAAC
rnacentral:rRNA from 1 species